rnacentral:rRNA from 1 species
GACCUCGGAUCAGUAGGG